UAGGAAUGAUAUGAUUAAGAAUGAGGUUUUACGGGAUAAGGUGACAGUGGCCUCUGCGGCGGAUAAGAUGAGUUUAGCAAGGUUGAGAUGAUUCGAACGUGUAAAGAGAGAGGAUGCGCCAGGGAGGAGGCGUGAGAGGUUGGCUACAACAGGAGCCAGAAGAGGUAGAGGUAGGCUGAAAAAGAGCAGACAAAUAUGACACAAGAUCAACUGACCGAGCACACGACCCUAGAUAGAAGUGUGAAGGUCGAGGUCUCGAUGAUUAGAGAAGAAGGAUAGUAAGUAAAAAGGCCAUAUAUAAAACUAAAAACAAGUUUGUAAAGUGCUACAAAACCAAAUAUCUUGGACUGACAACAGUAGAACAACCAUCAAUAGCAAGAAGCAAAACUUCAUUCAUUUCUCUCACAACCAUAAAAAGGGCCGCCCGGUGCACUAAAGCUACUGCUAUGUGCGGUGUUCGGAUAAGGGCCCACCACAAGGAUGUAUCGUGCGCAAACUUACUUUGCGUUUCUCUCACAACCAUCAAUAAUAAUAAUAAUCAAAAACUCAAAAGUUUGGACAAAGAUAUAUAGAUAUUACCUGAACUGAACUGAAGAACUUUGCUUAGUAUCUAUAGAUGAGGAGACUUCGGUUAAGUGAAAGUGAAAAUGUCUAUAAAUCCAUUUGCAAUGGUGGAUAGGAUAGAUAUCUCCCAUAUCUACAUUUGGGUUUGGCAAUACUAGGGACUUUGGGACCCAACUGCUUAUUAUCUGCGUAGGAAUUUGAUUGUCUACAUAAAUUUACAGGUACGUUAUUUGCUUAUUAUCAAAAUUUUGCAUGAAUUAUUUGAUAAAAUUUCAUAGAAAAGGAUUUUACUUGCGGAUUUCUACGAAAAAAUUCACAGAUUAUUUUCCACGAAGAUUCUCAAGUAAAUUCGAAGAAAAUUUAGAGAUGAAAAUUUCUAAUCCCUAGCAAAUAAUCCCCAAAUAUUUUUUAUGUAAUAAAAUCUGCCACAUAAAUUUCCACCAAAUAUCUCUAUGUAAAUUCGUAGGAUAAAUUACCUAAAAUUUUUUCUAUGGAUUUAAAAAAUAUAUAUAUUUGUCCAUGUACCUGUGGAUUUACCUAGAGAUAAAAUAACCGUACAUAUAUUUCCCAGAUAAUGUCGCAAGUACGAAAUUUGCGCAAUAGAAUGUCAGAUUUACCUGCAGAAUUUAUUGAAAAUAUAUAAUUCACAGAUAACAUAUUCUAAUGUUGAGGAAUUUAAAAUGUCCACAGAUAAAUCUGCAUAUAUUUCUUGCAUAUCUUUUCCUAGGUAAGAUCCUCAAGUAAUUGACAGCUUUAUAGCAGUGUAACAAUCCCAUACUAGAUGGUUGUUUGGCAAGACGCAUUAAACAACCUAAUACACUAAUAUCUUAUUUGGUACUAUUAGUCUAUAAAUAGGUGAAACUUAGGGGCGGAGCUACACUUGAUCGAGGGGUUCGUCCGAACCCCCUUCGAUGAAAAAUUAUACUAUUUAUAUAUAGUUAAAAUUAUAUUUUAUGUAUAUACAGAUGUUGAACCCCCUCGAUUAAUUCGUAUGUUUACUUCUGAACCUCCUUAACGAAAAUCUUGAUUUUCCUGAGAGCCCUCGGUCGACUUUCGGCCAAAAACACGCCCGGGCCUCGGGCUCAUUCUGGAAUCGUGAGCUAUAACACAUUGAUUUGGCCCGAAAAUGGUCCGUUCCCGUUGUUUUGCCUGUUUGACCACCUAGACGGCCCCGGCCACUAUGCCGGCCCACGCUACCCCUCUCUUCAGCUUGCCUGGGAGCCCUCGGUCGACUUUCAACCCAAAAUAUUUGGCCCGAAAAUGAUCCGUUCCCGCUGUUUUGCCUGUUUGACCACCCAGACGGCCCGACCCACCAUGCCGGCCCAUACUACCCCCUCUCUUUAGCUUGCCUGGGAGCCCUCGGUCGACUAUCGACCAAAAAUAUUUGGCCCGAAAAUGGUUCGUUCCUGCUGUUUUGCCUGUUUGACCACCCAGACGGCUCGGCCCACCAUGCUGGCCCACACUACCCCCUCUCUUCGGCUUUCCUGAGAGCCCUCGGUCGACUUUUGACCAAAAACACGCCCGAGCCUCGGGCUCACCCCGGAACCGUGAGCUAUAGCACACUGAUUUGGCCCGAAAAUGAUCCAUUCCCGCUGUUUUGCCUGUUUGGCCACCCAGAUGACCUCGCCCACCAUGCCGGCCCAUACUACCCCUCUCUUCAGCUUGCCUGGGAGCCCUCAGUUGACUUUCGACCCAAAAUAUUUGGCCCGAAAACGGUCUGUUCCCGCUGUUUUGCUUGUUUGACCACCCAGACAGCCCGACCCACCAUGUCGGCCCAUACUACCCCCUCUCUUCGGCUUGCCUAGGAGCCCUCGGUCGACUUUCGAUCAAAAAUACGCCCAAGCCUCGGGCUCACCCCGGAAUCGUGAGCUAUAGCACACUAAUUUGACCCGAAAAUGGUCCGUUCCCGCUGUUUUGCCUGUUUGACCACCCAGACGGCCCCGCCCACCAUGCCGGCCCACACUACCCUUCUAUUCAGCUUGCCUGGGAGCCCUCGGUCGACUUUCGACCCAAAACAUUUGGCCCAAAAAUGGUCCGUUCCCGCUGUUUUGCCUGUUUGACCACCCAGACGGCCUCGCCCACACUCUCCCGCUCCUCAGCCAGCCUGGGAGCCGCCGGUCGAUUUUCAACCCUAAACAUGUUCGGGCCCCCGGCACACCCCGGAACCCGAUUUGGCCCGAAAACAGCCCGUUAUUGCCGUUCGCCCUUUAGAAAAUAAACUUGCGUCGUUGUAGGUCAAACUAACAUUGUAUUCAAUUUACCAACUUUUCACCCACACCAUUGAUAUGGAAUAAAUAUGGAACAAUGAUAUAAGUUUUCACAAGAAGAAUUAUCUUCCAAGAAAAUCCUGGAGGUGAGGAUGCUUCGAUGGAUAUGUGAUAAUACUAGGAAAAGAUAUGAUUAAGAAUGAAGUUUUACGGGAUAAGGUGACAGUGGCCUAUGCGGCGGACAAGACAAUUGAAGCAAGGUUGAGAUGAUUCGAACGUGUAAAGAGAGGAUGCACCAGGGAGGAGGUGUGAGAGGUUGGCGACAACAGGAGUCAGAAGAGGUAGAGGUAGGCCGAAAAAGAACAAACAAAUAUGGCACAAGAUCAAUUAACUGAGCACAUGACCCUAGAUACAAGUGUGCGGAGGUCAAGGUCUCGAUGAAUAGAGAAGAAGGAUAGUAAGUUAAAAGGCCAUAUAUAAAACUAAAAACAAGUUUGUAAAGUAUUACAAAACCAUCAAUAGCAAGAACAAAAACUUCAUUCAUUUCUCUCACAACCAUCAAUAAUAAUAAUCAAAAACUCAAAAGUUUGGACAAAGAUAAGAUAUUAC
rnacentral:lncRNA from 1 species